rnacentral:hammerhead_ribozyme from 1 species
AUUCAGGUGACGAGUCCCAAAUAGGACGAAACGUGAGUCGGACUGGUU